UACUCAGGAAGGAGGUCAUUAUAACUGCUGUUAUGCUGAAGAAAACAGGAUGAUUCAAAGUAACAAGAUUUAACCAAACAUUUAACCAAACACAAAAUGAUGCUCCUAUUUUCUUUACUCAUAAUUAUGACUUUGAACACUGAUCUGGUUUCAGGUGCCUCUGUCAGUGACAAAGUCCAACAGACUCCAGCUGACAUUCACAAGAAACAAGAAGAAACAGCCAAAAUCUACUGUUCACACAAUGACAACAGCUAUAACCAAAUCCUCUGGUACAAGCAGUCAAACAGAGAACUUCAGCUCCUGGGAUACAUGACAGGAGACAGUGAAAACCUAGAGCCUGGAGUGAAGCUCACAGCCUCCUGCACCUGUAUUCCUCCAUCUCAUUCAUCUCGUGGUGGUGGCUGACAUGAUGGUUAUAAUGUUAAGGGGAGGAGGAAGCUCUAUGACAUCGUCCUAAUGACUUCAUGUUGGUUUGCUGAUUGGACAGUUUACUCAAAGAGGAGGUUGAAAUAAUCAGUAUAACUGCUGAUACACUGAAGAAAACACAAUGAUUGAUUUCAACAAGAUCAUAAAACACUCAACACAAAAUGAUUCUUCUAUUUCUAAUCAUUACUUAUACCUUUAUUCCAGUUGCAGGUUCCUCUCUCAGUGACCAAGUCCACCAGACUCCAGCUGACAUACAGAAGAAACCAGGAGGAACAGCCAAAAUCUACUGUUCACACAGUAUAGACAGCUAUGAUCGAAUCUUCUGGUACAAACAGUUGAAGAACAAACAGCUACAGUUCCUGGGAUAUAUGUUAGGAAAGGAUGGCUAUCCAGAGAAAGGAGUGGAUGUAAAGAUAGAUGGGGGUGCAAAUAAAGGCCAGAAUUGCACAUUAACAAUUGAUGGACUCAGCCUGAGCAACAGUGCAGUGUACUUCUGUGCUGCUAGUUACCACAGUGCUACAUAUCACUGCUCCUCAGUACAAAAACCUGCCUAUUCAUCUCUGUAUUAAAACUCACAGCCUCCUGCACCUGGAAUAAACCAUUUUAACCAAUGUUGGUCUCUCUGCUGAUUCAGAUCAGAGAUUAUAAUGGGAGGUUCUUUCUGUGGAGCAAUGCUGUUUAACAUCACACCUCCCAUUAUAAACAGCAGCCUCAGACAUUCAGUAUGUCUGCUGUGGCUGUGUCUCAUUUCAUCAGAAUCAUUAUGAUGACUCGAACGUAACUUUGUCAUUGUUGUUUAUUUAAUCCAUGAGAGCUUAACUUGUAAAAAAACAAAUAUAUUCUACUCUCCUGUGUUGUUAUACCAGGGUUUCAGGAGUCAUUUCAGGUCGUUGUUAUUUAGUUUCUCUUCAUAAGGUGGCAGUACAGUACAUCUGUAGUGUGUAGUGGCAGGUCAGGAAGACUAUGAUGAUGACUGUGACACCACCCACUGAAAAAACUGCUGCUGUUCCUGAUGGGACGGGUCACCAAGAAACAGAGGAGUGAAUAUUCAGUACAACUGCAUAUGAUGAAAACACAGCACCAAUAACAGGAAUGUUCUUAAAGUCAGUCAUGGAAGACAACAAGAUGAUCACUGUCCUCUGUAUAACCUUUAAUAUCAUACUGGUCUCAGGUUCCUCUCUCAGUGACAAAGUCCAACAGACUCCAGCUGAUAUCUACAAAAAUCCAGGACAAACAGCCAAAAUCAGAUGUUUACACAAAAUUGACAACUAUUAUACAGUCCUCUGGUACAAACAGUUGAAAAAUAGACAACUACAGUUCCUGGGAUACAUGUAUAAAGAUAAUGGAAACCCAGAAAAGGGACUGAAUGUCAGCAUGGAUGGGAGUGCAGAUAAAGGCCAGACCAGCACAUUAACAAUUGAAGGACUCAGCCUGAACGACAGUGCAGUGUACUUCUGUGCUGCUAGUUACCACAGUGCUACAUAUCACUGCUCCUCAGUACAAAAACCUCACCAUCAUGUUUUUUCAUCUCUGUAUUACAGCUCACAGCCUCCUGCACCUGUAUUCCUCCAUCUCAUUCAUCUCAUGGUGGUGGCUGACAUGAUGGUUAUAAUGUUAAGGGGAGGAGGAAGCUCUAUGACAUCAUCCUAAUGACUUCAUGUUGGUUUGCUGAUUGGACAGUUUACUCAAAGAGGAGGUUGAAAUAAUCAGUAUAACUGCUGAUACACUGAAGAAAACACAAUGAUUGAUUUCAACAAGAUCAUAAAACACUCAGAGAAAACAAAAUGAUUCUUCUAUUUCUAAUCAUUACUUAUACCUUUAUUCCAGUUGCAGGUUCCUCUCUCAGUGACCAAGUCCACCAGACUCCAGCUGACAUACAGAAGAAACCAGGAGGAACAGCCAAAAUCUACUGUUCACACAGUAUAGACAGCUAUGAUCGAAUCUUCUGGUACAAACAGUUGAAGAACAAACAGCUACAGUUCUUGGGAUACAUGUUUUUAAAGAAUGGCUAUCCAGAGAAAGGAGUGGAUGUAAAGAUUGAAGGGGAUGCAAAUAAAGGCCAGAACUGCACAUUAACAAUUGAAGGACUCAGCCUGAACAACAGUGCAGUGUACUUCUGUGCUGCUAGUUACCACAGUGCUACACAUCACUGCUUCUCAGUACAAAAACCUCACUGCCACAUAUUUAAUCAGUUCACAGCUCCUUACACUUGUGCUCCCUCCUCUCAUUAGGUGGCAGUAUAUCACUGCACCACACGCUGGUUUUAACGUUAGAGGAAGAGGACAUAAUAUGACACCACCCACCUACAGAGCUCAUGUUUAUUUUACAUAUAUCAGAGUGUACUCAGGAAGGAGGUCAUUAUAACUGCUGUUAUGCUGAAGAAAACAGGAUGAUUCAAAGUACCAAGAUUCAACCAAACAUUUAACCAAACACAAAAUGAUGCUCCUAUUUUCUUUACUCAUAAUUAUGACUUUGAACACUGAUCUGGUUUCAGGUGCCUCUGUCAGUGACAAAGUCCAACAGACUCCAGCUGACAUUCACAAGAAACAAGAACAAACAGCCAAAAUCUACUGUUCACACAAUAUUGACAACUAUUACAUAAUCCUCUGGUACAAGCAGUCAAACAGAGAACUUCAGCUCCUGGGAUACAUGACAGGAGACAGUGAAAACCUAGAGCCUGGAGUGAAUGUGAAGAUUAAAGGGAAUGCAAACAAAGGCCGGAAUUGCACAUUAACAAUUGAAGGACUCCGCACGAACAACAGUGCAGUGUACUUCUGUGUUGCUAGUUACCACAGUGCUACAUAUCACUGCUCCUCAGUACAAAAACCUGCCUAUUUAUCUCUGUAUUAAAACUCACAGCUUCUUGCACCUGGAAUAAACCAUUUC